rnacentral:misc_RNA from 1 species
UCCGGUUUGUCACCGGCAGUCUCGUUAAAGUGCCCAACUUAAUGAUGGCAAUUAACGACAAGGGUUGCGCUCGUUGCGGGACUUAACCCAACAUCUCACGACACGAGCUGACGACAGCCAUGCAGCACCUGUGUUCUGGUUCCCUUUCGGGCACACUCAAAUCUCUAAGAGCUUCCAGACAUGUCAAGGGUAGGUAAGGUUUUUCGCGUUGCAUCGAAUUAAUCCACAUCAUCCACCGCUUGUGCGGGUCCCCGUCAAUUCCUUUGAGUUUUAACCUUGCGGCCGUACUCCCCAGGCGGUCAACUUCACGCGUUAGCUCCGGUACUAAAAGGUUUUACCCUCCCAACACCUAGUUGACAUCGUUUAGGGCGUGGACUAC